UGUAAGGUACCGGACUUCUAAAACUAUGAAGUUACGGUGUACAUUUAAAUGGCUCCGGUGAGGUUGCGACGGAAUGUAACAUACCGAAUUUUAAAUAUAAAAGUGAAAAUAAAUAAAAAUAGUAUGAGAUACUAUUUUUAUUGGAUUUAGAGAAGUGAAAUAUAAGUUGGGAAUGACCUGUGCUGAAAUCGGAGCGACAACAGAAGAUUUAGAAUUUUCUGUAAGAAACGGGGCAGAUAAAUUAGCAGAAAAUGCACAGUGUCAGAAAAUUAUGAAAAUUAGCGGAGAUAUCAGAAAUAUUUUUAUGAUACUGGAUUUAAAGUUCCAUGCCAUUCUGACACCCGGAAGGUGAAAAAUAGAAUCCGAAAGCUAUCUGAUAAAGAUUGCAGUUCGGUACAGUUUUCAGUGACCAAACGGGGUCGAAACUCAAAUAUUAAAAUUUCUUUGGACUCGUUAAGUGAGACCGAACAUGACUGUCAAAUUUGAGCUCAAACGGAUGUUCAGGGAGUUCCGGCGAAAGAUAUCAGAUUUCGAACUGCCUGGAGUGAAUAGUAUUUUGGGGGAGUUUACUUGGAGGUGAAGUUUCCUCCUAUAUAUAUAUAUAAGGGUGUUAUGUCAUUUCCCUCAUUCCUCUCUAUUUGAGCCAACAUAAGAGAAAUCUCUCUCUCUCUCUCUCUCUCUCUCUAGGAUUGGCUCCAAAGUGUGGAGUUGGUAGAGAAAAGCUUACUUAAAGGUGAAGCUUUCCUUUUCUUCACCAUUGGCUUGAAGAGAGCUUGAGUUUGAGAGGUAUGCUUUGUUAGCAAUAAUGGUAGAUUGCUAAGUAAUGAUUUGUAUGUCUUAGAAAUGGGUUUAGUGAAACUCCUAGAUGCUAAAUAGAUGGUUGAUGCUCGAAUUUUGAGAUUAAAUGAUGAAUUCUUGCAUAGUUGCAUCUUAGGGCAUCAAAAGAGCGGUUUUUGCUUGUGAGGGGUUUUGAUCUAAAUUGAUCAUGUAUAAACCUAAUUGCUAGGUAAACGAACGCGUUGGGGAAGUCGGUUCUGCGAUUCGUCGAGCCUACGCGAAGUUAUUAAAGAAACGGACGUUUAGGUUUCGUUUCUGCAUAGAGGGCCGAGGCGACGUCGUAAAAUCAUGGAAAUGGAUUUGAAGCAUCGUGGCACAUAACCGAAGACCUAUAAUUUUCAGGGCUGCGAAGCGGAGCACGGUUGAGGCGCAGUUGCAGUAUCGGGCCGUGCCGGAUACGGGUGCCACGGGAGGCCGAUUGCAAGUGUCGACAAUCAAUCGGAACGCGAAUUAAGGUGGGUUGUGCUUACCGAAGCGAUUAGGUCGCCCUUUAUGUCUAAGAAACUAAGAAUCCAUGUUGAUGCAUAUAAAUGUAAAUGAAGCAUGUAAAUGAUGCAUGUAGCUAAAUAAUGCAUGUUGAUAGUAUGAUGUAAAUGCUAAAUAGAAUGCAUUAUGAGCAAGUUACAUAAUGCUAAAUAAUGUAAUGUAGAAAUGCUAGAAUGCAUUAUGAGCAAGUUACAUAAUGCUAAAUAAUGUAAUGUAGAAAUGCUAGAAUGCAUAAUGAGCAAGUUAUAUGAUGCAUGUUUAUAGUAUGAUGUAAAUGCUAAGUAGAUGCAUAUAAAUGAUAUAUGAGAUUAUAAACGCAUGAUUAGCAUUAUGAGAUCAUAGAUGCAUGCUUAGCAUUGUGAGAUUAUAUAUGCAUAUGAACUUGGUUGAUAACUCUAGCUUGAUUAGAGAGAUAACAUUGGAAAAUGAGAAUUGAUAACUCUAGAAUGAGUAGAAUGCUUAAUUGGACAAUUAGUAUGUGAAUUAGAUCGAGUGGCAUCUAACUUAGUGUUAAGGAACAUAGGUCGUGAGUAGACCUAGAAUCAAAUAGAUCGAGUGGCAUCUAACCUAGUGUUAAUAAACAUAGGUCGUGAAAUGAAAAGUACUUAACCUAGAGUCAAGUGAACCUAGGUUGGAAAGAAUAAUGAUCCUAGUGUAAUAAACCUAGGUUAAGAAUGUGAAAGCAAUAAACCUAAUGGGUGAACUUAGGUUGAGUAAAGGCUUAGACCUAGAGAGGUCAGUUCCAUAGGGUUAAGACCAACCCCUAUGUGAUGUGAAAUGGAUUCCGGAAUCCCAAGGCUAAAAGGAUACACCCAAAGUGGUGUCGGGUGUGUGCGACGAUUUCGCCGCCCAAGGGCUAAAGAACCAUUGUCGUGGCGUGUGCGACGAUUUCGCCGCCGGAUGGUUAGCCAGUUUGUGGAUCCUACCGCCUGUUGAUUGAACCACUGUCGUGGCGUUUGUGCGACGAUUUCGCCGCCGGGUGGCUUAGUCAUGGACCUAGGCCGUUGUUGGGUGAGGUGCGAUUCGUUCGCCGCCAGACGGCUAGGAUAGGAGUACGGUGAGCUGUUGCCAGCUGAGGUGCAUGUGAGAGUUCCUUCACCUCGAGCUAGAUAGUGCGCGGACUAUCCGCGAUUGAUUGACUCGAAGCCGAGUCGGGUGGUUAGCUAUGAUAGGGUAGAGGAACCCUUAUGAGCUAGAGAUAGAGGCUUGAGCUAAGGUAAUAGAAACCUUAGAAGCCAGUGGUUAGUGUUGUGAUCCUAAGGUAAUAGAAACCUUAGAGUAAAGUUAUGAGCUAAAGUAGCCAAGUAUAAGUAGAAUUCAAAUGAUCUACUAGUUGCAUGAUUUUCAUAUCUCAUAUCGUGAGGCAUGGCAUGUAUAUUUCAAUUGAAAAUAUAUGUCUGUUGUAUAUUGUUGAACUAACAUAUUGCAGUGCCUCCUCGGACCUAUCGGUCGAUCUUUUCCCUUAGGUGGCCGUACCCACUGGGAACCAUGGAGUUGGUUCUCACCCCACGUGGUUUUGGGGUGUUUUCAGGUUGUUCGUGCGCGGCGUGGUGGCGCGAGGCAAGGGCGUAGCUCAGUAGAUAGCGCCCCACCACAGAGACCGAGGUAGCAGUACCGUGAGACAGUCUAGCUUAGGGGUCUAGAAGACAAGAAAAGAAAAUGUAUCAAACUUGAUAACUCUGAUGUAAUAGCGAGAUUGUAAUUUGGAAGUAAAAAUGUAAACAGAAACUGUGAUGUAAAAAGUGGUUGUAAAAUGAAUGCAUGUAAUAGCAAGUAGAUUAUGUAUUUGAUACUUCCUUAUGCAAUCUGGAUUGAUAUCCGUUCCUAGUUGGAACAUUCGUUGAUUGUUUGGAUUGCGACGCCUUGGACGUACUGGGGAGACUCUGUCCGCGUACAAAGGAAUCCCCGGUCCGUUCGGUGGUCUGUCGUCGGCGCCGCGACCCUGUCCAAAUAGGCGGUUGGUCGCAGGGAGUGACAGAUAAGAUGGUAUCAGAGCAUAAAGUAGAGAAUGGGCUAUGGUUUAGCUGGACCUAGGAGACCUAGGAUAGUAAACCAUAGGAGAAUAAGGCUCGUGAGAGACGAGGACUUGUGAAUUACGGCGAAAGAUUGAUCGAUUGGGUCAGGUUAGUAACCCUCUGAAACGGAUGUUAGAGGUGGAUUCAAGGUUCAGUUUAUUCUCAGCCGAGGAUGUUCAUGUUGGGCAUGCACAACAUGAAACCGGGUGAUGAGAAUAGACGUCCUUGCGUGACUUUCGCCCGAUUUGAGUCAGUGUUAGUUGUCUCGUGUUCGACCCAGAGGGUCGAGGGUUGAACGAGUUGUCGUGCUUUAGGAAGCGAUGGCAUCGUGUAGGCGAUCAAUAUAAAGAUCGGCGCGGGAUGAGACAAGUGGUGUCCCUAAGCAAUCUGAAGCGAGCGGAGAAUUGAAACUUCGCUAUCAAUUGGCCACACUCGUGGGAGUGGUGAGGCCACGAGUCGGUGGUGCAGCGUCAGUAGGAGACUACCAUACACCAAAGGGAUCGUGUAAGAGGGACUCCAAGAGUUGGUGGACCAGUGGUGAUCGCACUAGUUUCGGCUCGUCGAGUAUGGCCGGGAGUCGCGGUGGAGGUGUUUCCGUCGGGGUUGGGUGAUCCGACUUCUAGCAGUUCGUUGGUGGAGGCAGUGAGGAGGGCGAGCUUUGGUGGCCCUCAUGACCUUCAAGCUAUUGGAUCCACCCACCUUUGGUGGAGAGGAUGCGGAUCCAUGAACCAUGGAGUUGUGGAUCGACUCCAUAGAGACUCUCUUUAAGGGUCUAUGUGCUGUGGAGCGGGAUAAGGUACGCCUAGCCGUGCGUUGUCUGAAACAAUCGGCGAUGGUGUGGUGGAAAGGCGUCAAGCGGAUUUGAUCGCCUAGUUUCCUUCCUGUCGCUUGGGAUGAGCUUCGGGAUUUGUCGUGUUCUACUUCCCCGUACCCCGUACCCGAAGUUUGCCCAGUCUGGGCAGUGCACAUUCUUGAGUGCAAUUGCAAUCCCUAACCUCGGAGGUGUCUUGUGUUAACUUCUUCAAGAUACGGGAUUACCGAAGUUCUCACCAGGCGCGGUGGGGUGCGCUGCGUGAUGAGAUCUGCAUUCGUAUGGGCGAUGGCCAAGCCAUAAGCGAGGGGAGUGCCGCUGAGGGAUGAUCAGACCUUAGCGUUAGCGACGGCCUCCUCCUCCCCGAGACAGCCUGUGCGUGUGUCACCUGCAGCAUGGUUUGGAGGGUGAGUGAUAAAGAAGUGACAACCUGAGGGUUCGCGGCGAGCGCCAGGUGGCCAUGGAUAGCGACCCGGUUUGGGGAGCCUGCUGCUGCCGAGGAUAUCGCGGCAGAUGUGAUUUAGUUAAAGCAAGCAGGUACUUUUGCAUGAUCUCAAGUUGACGCAUUGUGUCUUUGCCCUGUGGUCAUUUACUGCUAUCGAUGCGUCAGAGUGGCAGGGACCAAGUGGACGGGUAAGUGUAAAUGCCCGGGCAUGCUUAUGCGGUGAAAGUGUAGCACCUGCCGGUGCAAGCAAGGAGCUAUAUGGCACUAACAAGUUACUAGUGAUAACCAGGUGAUAAGACUCAUGGUAAAGGUGGAGAUGGGGAAAUGACUCUCGAGGCAACGAUUAGUGGAUUGCGAGGGUUGAACCAUAAUACCUGUAGACACGCGAGUAAUCCGAGAAUUUCGGAUAUUGUUCCGAUAGAUCGAACGGUGAAAGGAAAGUCAUUGUUGAGAGAGUAACUGGUUAGUUACCAAGUUGUGGCACGUGGGCCUAGUAGUAGCACCUCAACUUGAGGUUAGAAGUUGUGCUUAUUUGGUCGGCGCGCAUAGGCAGGGUUGCCUGAUGCUAGAUUUAGUUUGGAACGCUAUAGAGGCGUGUAGAGCGCUUGAGUAUAGGUACUCGUGGUGUGCGGUAUUCACUCAGCCGAGAAAGUGAGAUGGCAGUAGCACUGUAGCAUUGCUAGGUGUGAAGCGUGCCUGGUAUCACUCGUAGGGGCUGAUGGCUCGCACUAGGUGCUUAGGAGCGGAUAUUGGUAUGUGUGACUCGGUAGAGCAUGUCGUGUAGGACGACGACGGCGGGUAGUGCUUGGGGACGACCCGUGCCUGGACCAUUUGUGGACUGUAGAGCCUGAGCCCUUUGGGCAGGCGCAGUCAGCUGUGAGAGACAGCGGCCCGAUACCUACAGGUAGGGCAGAGAUUUGGUCAGGAUGGUAGUCCGAGCUUAGACCCGGGAGCGUGGAAUGCCACGUGUUAGAUCAUGAGAUCGAGGAUACACCGAGUGUGUAGUGACCCAACCCGAGGAUUUGAGGUGGUUUGGGGUCACGGUUGCUCCUGGUUGGAGCGUGUGCGAAUUCUCCAAUGCGAAUUUCGCCCGAUUAUGAUUUGGCCUACGCUGGUGAGCAAGGGACGCUAUACGUAGUUGUAAGAGGUUUAGGCGGUAGACCUACGUAGGACGGGUGACUGUUGGUCCACCUGUGGAAACCGACGUAAUCGGUUUAGCCGAUAACUCUAUUAGUGAGUUGGCUUGGAUUCACGAACAUAGGGUUCGUGUGGAUUUGUCGCAAGAGCAAGGUAAAGUUGGUCGUGGCUUAUGAUAUCAAGGGCGAAAUGCUCUUGUGCGAUAUUGAGAUGUGGAUAGCCACGUGGGAAUUGGAGCUUGAGGACAAUGCUCUUUUGUGGAUUGAGAUUGGAGAUGUGCCGGAAUGGGCCAUCUCCUGAUAGAACAAGGAUCCGGUUGUGAUGAACCACUCGCGAUUGGUCGAGUCACCAACGAUAUUGCUUCUAAGCAAUGCAGGUGAUCGAAUCGGAGUGAAAUUUUUCGUUUGGGUGUAUAAUGCAAGAGUAGUUCUUUGCAUGGUGGUAAUACACUUUUGGAGCUGCACGUGGCAAAUGUGAGUGAAUCUAGUCUCACAUCUUCCGUAGUGAGCCUAUGGAUAGUUCCGAUGAGCGAAAAGCCACUCCGAGAUGCAAAAGUGCACUGUACCCCUUGUCACUCAAGAAAGAGAAUUAGAGUGUGAAUUGGGUUGAAGUGAGUGAGUUUCGGGGACGAAACUCUUUUUAAGGAGGGGAGAAUGUAAGGUACCGGACUUCUAAAACUAUGAAGUUACGGUGUACAUUUAAAUGGCUCCGGUGAGGUUGCGGCGGAAUGUAACAUACCGGAUUUUAAAUAUAAAAGUGAAAAUAAAUAAAAAUAGUAUGAGAUACUAUUUUUAUUGGAUUUAGAGAAGUGAAAUAUAGGUUGGGAAUGACCUGUGCUGAAAUCGGAGCGAAAACAGAAGAUUUAGAAUUUUCUGUUGGAAAUGGGACAGAUAAUUAGCAGAAAAUGCACAGUCUCAGAAAAUUAUGAAAAUUGGCGGGGAUGUCAGAAAUAUUUUAAUGAGGCUAGAUUUGAAGUUUCAUAUUUUUCUGACGCCCGUAGAGAGAGAAAUAGCAUCCGAAAGCCAUCUGAUAAAGAUUGCAGUUCGGCACAGUUUUCGGUGACCAAACGGGGUCGAAACUGAAAUAUUAAAAUUUCUUUGGACUUAUUAAGUAAAACCGAGCGUGCCUGUCAAAUUUGAGCUCAAACGGAUAUUCAGGGAGCUCCGGCGAAAGAUAUCAGAUUUGGAGCUGCCUGAUGUGAAUAGUGUAUGCUACUAUUGAGGUGUUGACUAUAAGUAGAAGCUACUAGGCUUCUUCCUCCUCAAGUUGCAGCCAGCACCAAGCAUCACACGCACAUGGUGUAGUGAGAGAAACCCUCUCUUUCUCUCUCUAAAUAUCUCUCUCAUCUCUCUAUAUUUCUCGCCCAAAUUCGCGGCGUUGGUGGAGAUCGAGCUUGCGAACGCGUUGGAGGCGACGGAUUGAGCUUUCGUGCGCCCGUUGGAGCGGCGUGUUUUCGUUGCGGCGUUCACAUUGGGGUAAGCUUUUGGGAUUUGGCUUAAUCCUUAGCUUUAAGUGUUCUAUUAGCCUCUAAUGAUCAUUAGUAAGCAUAUUGAUCCAUUUAAUUUGGAUUAUUUGGAGGUUAAUUGUACGUUAGGGCUCCGAAUGGGAUUUUGUAAAAUGUAAGGGUUUGAUCUCAUUUGACCCUUCGUAAACCUAAUUGCUAGGUAACGAAACGCGUUGGCGAAGACGGUUCGGUAAUUCGACGAGCCGUUACAAAGUUAUUAAAGAAAUAGACGUUUAGGCUUCGGGUCCGCCGGGAGGGCCGAUGCGACGUCGUAAAAUCAUGGAAAUGGAUUUGAGGCAUCGUGGCACAUAACCGAAGACCUAUAAUUUCCGGAUUUGUAAAGCGGAACACGGUUGAGGCGCAAGAUCUUGUCGGGCCCAAAGGGUGCCGAGUGCCGCGGGAGGCCGAUUGCAAGUGACGACAAGCAAUCGGAACGCGAGUUAAGGUGGGUUGUGCUUACCGAAGCGACUAGGUCGCCCUUUAUGUCUUAGCAAUGUAAUCUCAUGUUGAUGCAUGUGCAUGUAGACAAGAGCAAGGAUGCAUGUUAAUAAAGAUGCAUAAAGUAGAUGCUAAGUAGAAAGCAUGAUAAAUGGUAAUGCUUAGAGCAAAUGCAUAUUAAUAACAAUGCAUAGUGGAGCAUAAUGAUUAUGGCAUUAGAUAAUGCUAGCUAAUGUAAAGUAAUGCAUGAUAAUGAUAAUGCAUAGAUGAAAAUGCUUAGUAGAAAUGCAUGGUGAGCAAGUUACACAAUGCUAAUAAUGCAUGAUAAUAAUGUAAUGCUAAGUAAUGCAUGAUAUGAAGUAAAUGCAUAUUAAUAAUAAUGCAUGAUGAGGAUGCUAAGUAAGGGAUGCAUGUUAGUAAUGAUGCAAAGAGUAAUUGCUAAGUAGAAAGCAUGAUGCAUGGUAUAUGUAUAUAAACCAGAUGAUAACUCUAGGAUGAGUAGAGAUGACUGGACAACUAAGUUGUCAGGUAGAUCGAGUGGCAUCUAACCUAGUGUUAAAGAACAUAGGUUGGUUAGUAAACCUAGAGUUGAACAAUCUAGGUGUGUGGCAUCUAACCUAGUGUUAGUAAACCUAGGUUGAACUAGUAAACCUAGAAGUGGAUAUCUAGGCAAAGAUGAUAAGAACCUAGCAAGUGUAUCUAGGUUAAGUGAUGUGGACAUAGAACCUAGAGUGUUGGAACCUAGGUUGAUGAGUAUAGUGGUAUAGCCACUAGAUUGAGCUAGGUCGACAGUAUAGGGUUGGCUAUGAACCCUCGACCUGUGGUAAGUGGAUUCCGGAAUCCCAGGACUUAUGAUGUCCCUGGUACAGGCUAGGGCGUUCGUGCGACGAUUUCGCCGCCGAGCUUGGUACCGUGGGUAGAUUGGGGGCGAUCACAUGGAGAUCACCGCCCGGGGCUUGAACCAUUGUGCUGGCGUUUGUGCGACGAUUUCGCCGCCAGAGUGGUUAAGCCAUUUGAGGAUCAGACCGCCAGAGUAGACUGAAUCCAUGCUGGGUAAGUACGAUGCGGGUGCCUCCAGGUGACUGAGUCUGACAUGAUCGUUGUUGGGUGUGGUGCGACCCGUUCGCCGCCAGACGGUAUGUCAUGUCUCGAGCUCACGCUGGGUAUGUGCAACGCGAUCGCCACCGAUGGUCAAGUCUUGUGACUCGAGCCGUCUUCA
rnacentral:lncRNA from 1 species